GAGCCGCGGCGGCCGCCUGCUCGGCGUUGUGCUGCGGCCGGCGGGUCACGGGCUGUGCAACCCCCUAUGGAAAACACCCACACGCUGAUGAGUCGUUGGCUAAAAUUACCUUCGGGAGGUUCUGCCGGAUGCGUGUAUGUGUUGUGUAUUUAUUUAUACACGUGUGCACACGCGCAUCUAUGAAAUAACAUUUGCGGUGACGCCUCGUGCGAAAUGCCAGCUGAAUAAAUCUGCCACCAAAACUUCAGUUCCGGGCUGCUGCUCUCCAAGAUCUGCUAUCAGAAAUGAAAACGCAUCCUUAGAAAGUUCACCAAAAUCUGAGUUAGAUGAGCUACUGAAAUGCAAUAGAAAAUGUACCUCUUACGGAUUAGCCGAACAAUGAACGCAGCCCUGCACGUAAACAUUGUCUAAGUUUAUUGGCAGGGUGAAUGUGCCUGAUUUACUGCUGCAGGAAUCAGCGGCAUUUCCCCAGACUGCGAAUACAAAUAUAAAUUAUCUGGAGGAAAAGUGCAUUUCUAAUCUGGAAGUGUGGUCAAGCAACUCAAAUACCAGUAGCAAAUCAGUCAAUUACCAAAUUGUUACACAUUUCCAAUAUUUUUAUUAGUCUCUGGUAGCAACGACAUAACAGUCUGCCAGAAAAUAAAUCCUUGGUGGAUCCUGAAGUACUUUUAGAAGCAGUUUUAAUCUACAGAUGUCCUGAAAAGCUACAGCCUGAGCCAUGGAGAUCAAAGAGGAGCAGAGUGCCUGGGUUUAGGAGCUCGGAGAUGUCUUUUCUUGUUUGUUGUUACCUCUCUUUGUGUUUUCCAACUGCGUGCUGUCAUAUGUGCAUUAUGGAUGUAUGCAGUAACAGACGUAUUUACCUUUGCAGCCAUUUAAAUGUAGCAGCAAGGCACGAACUCCUGAAAGAGAGAAAGAGAGAAGAAGAGAUCUCACUCUGUUUGCUGAGGAAGAGUGGUUUCUGUUUCGUGCAAAAUAUUUCCUUCUCUUCCACUCUGUCUUCUCAAAGAGCACUCUGCCUGGUACCCUUCAAUAGACAUAGCUGAGGUAUAAAGACACUGAGAGAGGAAGAACUUAAAUUUGAGGUAGAUAGAAAGUUUGGAUCAUUUGAGACAAAACUGUUGAAAUCUUUGCCAAACUGUUUUUAAAAUGUAAUACCCUCCCCAAACGGUACCAAAUCCAGUAUACUUGCAUGCUUGUGCCAUGAUGCUGAGUGUGGAGGGAACUUCUAUUCACCCUUCCAAAAAUGACUAACUCAGAUUGGAAAGUGCUUUUGGCAGGUUUACUUCCAUUCUCUGAAAUUCCACCCAUGCAUACAGACACAGAGCAGACCUGUAGUGACUUCAACAGCAUCUGCACCAACCCAUACCAGCUGACCAAAGUAAACUGGCAUCCAAAAAGGCUAUCCAACAAAUGUGUCCGUGGCUGGGGAUGCACCAGCAAACACUUGUGUGGAGUGGAAUUGGUCCCACCCUGCACACACUGACUGUGCCAGUUAUGUACGAGCAUGUCACCAAUGUACUUUUUUGUUUGCAUAAAACAAUUACCCCGUGGACAGUAGCUUCAGAGUUGUCUAGACAACAUGCUUUCGAUGGUAUCGCUGACCUCAGACACACUGGGCUAGCUCUAAAUUAGCAAUGAGCAGGGCUGGAGGGAUGUAUUAUAGUAGUUAUAAACCAUAAGAAGGUAUUUAAAUAGAUAGAUAAGACACAUGCAAAUCUUUUCAUUGCCAUGACAACCAUCUUGAUAUAGGUUUUCCAUAUGUAGCAGGAAGGGCAGAGCAAAAGGCACUGGAAAAGUAGCAAGAACGUGUAAUGAUAAUGAACCCUGACAGUGUAUUAGUCUAGAUUUUGGUCACUUAUUAACUCUUAAUAGAAUACAAACUCCUAUAGUAAUACAGUGUUCAGUGGGUCAGGGAGCAAUUACUUAUAAAACUUUGCUAUAAGGAUCUCUGGUAUAUGGUUACACCUAAUGUACCAAUUCUUUGCAAAUUGAUCUGACUGAUUAAAAAACACUUCGCUAUUAGAUGUGAAUUGCUUAGCUGCUUAAAAGUGCUUUGCAGGGAUGGGUUGCACAAAGCAUGAAAAUAUGUCAUUUAUGGACAGCUUAUAUUUCCCUCCUGGUUUUAUUGGCUGGGCGAGGAAUCUUGUAAAUCAGAAUUCUGCAGUCAAUUGUCAAGGGAUUGCCAGGACCACCGAUUCCAAAAGGGAAAUGUGCUUCAGCCCCCUGACACAUGUGUAAGCCCUCAGCACGUUAUGUCUGAGCAGACCAGCACUGGUAUUUAUCCUUUUUUACCCAUCCAUCUUUCAGUGCAGUUCUUCAUUCCUUCUGAAUGCAAACCCAAUGGUCUGAAGGCCAGCUCAUGGCUCCGGUAGUGUCUCCUGUGCCAGCAAGUUCAGUUUGGAGGUGCUGGGCUGUGGACAGCAGAGGUAGGAAGGGCUUGGGCUUACUGCCGCACUUCAAACGGUUUACUCUGCAGAUCAGCUGUGUUGAUUCAGGCUGGGGUGUUUGGAAGUGAGUUGUGGUUAACCCUGCAGGUUUUUAUGUUCCUUGAUGGCAGUGCUGGAUGGAUCAGGAGCCAUUGUUUCUGCCCCUUGCCGUACCUACAACAGAUGGUUUUGCUUUGUAUUGGCCUGUUUCCUCCCUGCCUGGCAGCAGUGAGGUGCCACAUCCCCAGCCCAGAUCCAAGUCUGCUGCAGCCUUUGUGCCCUUUCCCUCUGACCAUCUCCUUCCUCUCACACUCCACCUAAAAGCCUUGUCCUCUACAAAUGCCAUCCUUUUAAGGCGGUAAUUUUGACUUGCAGCAUCAGACUGCAUGGCUCCCGUAACACCCAUGCCAGGUUUCCUCCUCCAAGAUCCUUUUUGACAGUGGCACCUCCAGCACAUGGAGAUGUCGAGGUAGGUAAGGUUAUUAUUGUUUUGCUAUUGCUUUGUGUUUCCUCUCUCUGCCCAACUUGUGAGUCAGGCAGGUAGCGAUUUGGGCCAGCACCGUCCCAUCCUUCUGCCAUGUGCAGCACUGAGCACGGCUACUUCAGUUGAAACCCUGUAGGUGAUACCAUGGUGCAGAGAAUAACUAAAAGUCUCUGCCCGUUUCCUAGAUGAGAGACACUCCUCUAGUGUGUAAAUCAGUCACAGUCCUGGAGGAGUAAUCCAGGUGGGAUAAUUGUGAAGGGGAAUGGCCCCAGGUGUGAUAGGAGUUUGCAUUAGCAGUGCCUUUUCAUCCAUCUGUCUUCUGACCAGAACUGGAAAGGGCCAUAAUUUGACUUAUACGGGUGUUUUGGUCAACUAGUUAUUUCAGUGACAGACCUCCUGAAGUACAUACAUGCACACAAAAUAUCUUUUGUGCGUGCAGGAGCAGCCAGGAGCCAGAGACCUCAAGAAGGACCUCAAGCUUUCCUUCUUGAAAGAUCAAUCUGGUUAGGACCUACUAGUUCCUGAAUAAUCCCGGAGAAUUUGGCCAUAGGCUCAGCUGGGGGAAAUAUUUCACAGUGAGUGAUUAUCCGCUGACUACAGUGGAAGCAGAAGGAGGACAGAGAGGAAUCUGGCUCAGGGCAGACAUGAGAAGAUGUGGUUUAUUGGUACGUUAUCAUUAGUUACUGCUUAGGCUGAAGAUCUGAUGAGCAGCCCUUGGUUGUGCUGUCCACGUGUGAUUGUGGCCUUGUACCAUGCCUCCAGCACAUAUCCCUUGAUUGGUGUCAUUCAGGGAAGUCAAAGGUGCUGGAGAAGACUGGUGCCAAAAAGUAUCCCAAAUGCUAAUGUGAAAGCAGUGCCAGUGCAAAUGCAUUUUUCCUGCAGUCGAGUGCUGUCUAAAAGUCAUAUGUAACAUAUGUGCCACUAACAACAACUAUGCUGCUUAAAAGUGGGCUCCAUAAUUUAGGAAAGGCACUUUGGUGCUGCAGAAAAGGAAGAGUCUAUGACAGAGUCCGCCCAUGUAUUUUCCUUUAAGAUCACCUAUAAACUUUAUUGCAGACUAACCACAGAACUGAAAAUUGUUGGUAUUAACACUCUGGGGCAUCCUGUGCACUGAAGUCUCAAUUUCUUACCCUGAAUACGUGUUCUGGCUGACAAGUUUUGGGGUGUUAUUUUCCCUUCUAGAUAUUCAGAUGCUCUUUCGACAUCUGGGAAUUUAACUAACAGCUUUUGCAUGUAUUUAAUGCAAAGUAAACUUUCCUCGAGCCUCCUGAUGGUGAGGAGCAAUCUUAUUUAUGAGCACUGGCACCUGUCCUGUUCAUUUGUACAAACUUUCUGAUUUAUCCUCGAAGAACACAUUACGCAGUGGAUUUGAAGGAGUUAAAGGGAACCUGCGGGUGACUUUAAUCUUUAUGUCUUUAUAUACUUGAGGGCAUUUUACUGCACCUUUGCACUGCUUUCACUACACAGUCAUUUUCUGCUGUAGAAAUGUAGCCAUUUGGAUCAAUAGUUACAGGACAAUAUAUUGUGCUUCUGAUGAGAGCCUCACAGGACAGUUAAGAAGCACCACAGUAAUUUUGCAAAAUGCUUGGCCACACUCUGAAACACAGUUUGAAAGGUAAAGUUGGCAAAACGUACGCCGUGCAAAAUUUACCCAAGCUCCAAUGAAAUUCUACUUAUUCUACUUGCUUCUAUUAAAACUAAAUUAGGAAGAGUGGGACAUAAAAGGAUGUUCUGUGCUGGAAACAUGGCUGUUCUGAAGGAGUGCUUUGAGCGCUGGUGGGGCUGGGCUGUCUGCUCUGAGCUGGCUUCAGCAGUGGUUUUCAGCUCCUGUGGAAUGGCAUUGGCUCAUUGGGAGGGACUUCUGAAAGGAGAGAUGUUCAGCUGAUGCAAGGAGUGUGCGUUUUCCGGGCUUGACUUACUUAAAAAAAAAGAAGCAAAAGGAUGUUAGGAGGUAUAGGUUCAGUACAGGGAACAAAAAAUAAAAGGGAAUCUAAAAAUAUGCAUCCCUUAAAGUGUUAAAAUAUGUAUCCUGUACGUUGUGGGUUUUACAGUAAAUUCUUUAUCUAUAAACAAACCGGGUUAUCACAGCUGUUUAUUGUACUGCUAGCCCUGAUCCUAACCUUUAUGUCUUUAUUGCUUACAUACCAUUCCCGUGUUUAUACAUCUGUACCAGCCUGUGCCCUUGAACUCGGCCCCGUAAGCCCUGACCCACAGCACAUGCUGCUGCGGGCCACGUCAGCAGCUGGGAGGUGGGAGCGGGGCCGGCAGCGGGAGGCUGGCACAGCCCAGGCCUUGCUCACCAGAACUGCGGGCUUUGGCUGGGAGAGAGGGAGAUGAGCUGGAGGAAGGAGGAAGGAAGAAGAGGAUCCCCCUCCCCUGGCCACUGUGCAGCUCCAUGAGCAGCCCCGUGUGCGCUGGGCAGAGCUGGCAGCAGGGCACAGUGAGCCCUCCUCACCCCAGCCGUUGUGGCUUUGGUUACCUCCAGAUCUUUGCUGCAAACAAACCUCCUGCUGAAAGCGUCUCCAGCUCUGAACCAAAACCCUCAUUUACUACUAAAAAUAAUGUCAAUGAAUGGAAGAAUUCAUCAAUUCUCCCAGGGAAGAGAAAAGAUGAUCCCAUUAACCUCCAUUACAGCCAUCGCCAUUAAGAGAUACCAUUAACCUGCAGUUCCACACUGUCUUGUUGGAGGUACUACAGUCGUUACUGUAAUUUUGGAGAUGCUCUGGCCAUCCCUGCGUGUGGCAGCUCCUGGCAAAUGCUGAUGCUUUACAGGGAGUGCUGCAGCCAAGUGCACUGUUGGAUUGGGAGGCCCAAUCCAUCAUCCCUCUGUGUUCUGGCUGUGCAUGCAGAAGCCUAACUCAAACCACAUUGUGGCAAAUGCACAUCCCCAGGCCUUGGAUUAGAGCUCCAGAAUGGGAUCGAGUCCCCCCUGUAUGAAAUUAUGGGAUUUUGCUGCCUUACGAAGUCGUGAGCAGCAGCAGUAGAUCAACACAGAGAACAAUGCAAGCACUAGGAACUUUAAUGGCAGCAUGUUGCCUGGUAGAUGCUUCGCUUCCUAAGGUAACACAUUUUCAGUGGCUGAUCUUCACACAUUUAUUGAUACUGAUCCCCUAGAGGGAGUGUGCUAAUGAAUACCCAUAUUUGGUGUGUAAGUUUAACUGAAUACUGCUAGUUGGAGGAUUGGAAUGUUAUUGGUAAAUAUAGAUUAUUAAUAUAUUUACACACACAUGGGCAGUAACCUACUCUCUUAAUACGUUCUAUUUACUUUACACAUUUAGGCUUCUGUUGUGAUCAUUCUGCUGAGUUCGGUAAUUAAAUCUUCAUACUUCCAGGAGCAUGGUUUUUCCUCAGCUCUUUAUUUUAUAAUUCCUCUGUAUUUACUGGUUGGAGAUUUUGUUUUUAUUUGCUCUUGUGCUUUUGUGGUUUUGUUUUGGUUUGGGUGUCAGUUUGUUUUUCCUGCACAGAAGCCAGUGUGGUUUUGAAGUAAGGGAGCUGGAGUGGUUCUAAGUGCAUCAUAACCUGACUUACUUCAUGUUCUGCGUGUGACCAUAAGCAGAUGAUUCAGUCCUCAUGCCUCCCAGAUGUAAGGUAGUAGUAAUACAUGAAUUACUUUCAUGAGUAGCAUGAAGAUUUAUUCACUAUUUGCCUGCUGUCCUCAGGGUUGAGAAGGUUUCAGAGGAAGCUUUCAUUGGCAAUGGGCUGUUAGGAAUCUGUAAAUAUCACUUAGCCUUAAUUCUGACACCCAGGGAAGAAAUCUUCCUUUCCUUCCACACCAGCUCAGAAGACAGCUGAAAAGCUCUUGGUAACAUCACCAAAGCAAAAGAACUUAGGGAGCUUCGGGUGUGAAAGCAGAGCAGGUAACACAGAGCCCAAGGCUGUACGGCCUUGUCCUCAUUGGCACAUUUUAAAAAAGGCAGUAAAUACCUUUCCAAGUGUGCUUCCUACAUUGCAGCCUCAGUUGAAUAGGGGUUAACCGAGUCCUAAGAAUGUAGUUGAUAGAUUAUCACAGCCCUGAUGGAGCCACUGAAGAGCACCAGGGAAAAAGCUCGUAUGUAAAAAUGAGCGACUCUCAUGCCCUUCUGUGAGAUACUUCUGUGUGUUUUUUUUCCUACCCUUUCAGGUGGUCACUGUUUUAAAUUCACCUCUCAGAAAUAUUCUUCAAUCCAAAAUGAAAAUCUUCAUGUUAAAGUCUAAAAUAAAGCAGAGCUAUUUUUUCAUAUGUAGGAACCAAACCAAACCAAAUUAAGAUGUAUAUUUAUGAAAUGAGGAGUCAGAUUUAUAGAACAUCCCGUGGUAUCUUUUAAUUUCAGAUGAAAUGAUCCUGUCUUGGUUUAAGAAGCAGAGGAUGCUGAGAUGUAGUCGUGUGCAAGCUCCCCUCACUCAAUUCAUGUUAGACUGCUUGCAUAUAUGUCAAGUUUUUCUGCCAUUUAGAUAAGUACUCAGUAAACACGGGAAGAAGCAUGGGGAGGUUUCUCAGUGAAUGGGGUAGUUGCCCGUGUGGCUGCCUGAGUCCAUGUUCUGUAUGAACAAAUGAAAAGCAAGAGUCUUUCAUGCUAAAUUUGUAUGGCCCUCUGAGCAAAUCGCCCCAUUUAUUCAAAUAUUUUCCAGUGGUGAGAUGUUUUGGGAUGUGAUGGUUGUUAAAAUGCAUUAAAUAAAACACUGCAAGUCAAAUUCAAGUAUAAAAUGACAUUCUUUCUGCGUAGAGUUUGAUGUUCUGAAUUUAAUCCCCGUUGGACUGCAGCCUGCGUUACAAAACCUUCACACAUAAUUUGGCAUAGUCGGGACAAUUUGCCAUCGUCCGUUGCUCUCUGCAGAGGAUACCCUGAGCAGACCCUGGUGGAGGCUCACUGACCUUUCCUCCCUCAGGAUGGUGGUCUCCAAGGUCACUGUUCAGGUCAUUCUGCAGCAAGCUUGCUGCCCUCGAAUUGUUUUUCUUUUCCUUUCUCCAGCAUGGCCUGCUGUGAAAGACAGAGAGCCUGCGUGAGCAGGCCUGGCAUCAUCUGCAAGGAUAGCGCCCAUGUCGAAACCAGGUAGAACUCUCUGGAGUUUUCCUGAGUAAGUUGAGAUGUCCCUUCAGUCCGAGGUGGGGCAGGAGCACACACGAAUGUGAGCAGGAGCUGAAGGAGGCAUGACACAGGGCUGAAGCUUUGCGAGCUCCAGAAACUCUAAGGCAAACGGCUGUGGUUGGCUUGAGACUGUGCAACAGCCAGCUACAACUGAAUGCUUUAUUGCCGUCUGGAAGUGUUUAUUUUCUGAACAUAAAUUCAAGGGACAGAUUCAAGGCAUGUCUAGAAAUAAAGCAUAUCAUCAUGUGAGCUAAGCUGACAAGGACAAUUUACUGUACCCUGCAUUCGUUCUGGGCCAAUCGGAAGAGAAGAGGCUAUUAACAUCCUGAAAUUCCCGCUGUUCGGCUCACCCUGUCCCUUCUCUGAACUCCGGAAUGGCAUGUAUUAACCCCUUAAGGGCCUCCUGUGCACGGCAUGCAUCAGAGAAGGGACACUUGUUUAGGCCUGGUAGACAUAUGCAGUAUGUCCAGCUCUUAUUGACAGCAGCAGAGAGCUGCUUUAAGAGCCGUGACACGGCCUGCGCUGUCUGGAGGCCCAGCACAGGGUUAACGUCUUUCCUAGAGGCAGUGUCAGUGCUGCAGAUGAGCGCUGACUUAGUCUGCUUAAAUACGAGAGUUCACUGGUCAGCUUGACCUUGAAUUCUCUUGCAGAGGCAGGAGCAGGCUGACACGCUGUUCGUGUUUCCAGUGGCUGCAAAGUUCAGGGAAUGUAACUCAACGGCAGCUCACAUGCCAUGAGUACCACUGAGAAGAGAAAGUUAAUUUCCUACUUUUUAAAUUGCUCCAGCAAGAAAAGUAGCAAAACCAGAGGAGAGUCUGAAAAUAAAACACAAAGGGCACCACAGCAGAUAUUGCAGAGAAAAGGUGCCAUUCAUAGUCAGGAACGUGUUAUAAUAAAAUCCACAAGCAAAAGUCCACAGAGGACUGUUUGCAUAGCAGCAUUACAAUAUCUACAUGUGUAAAUAGAGGGAACAGCCUUUAAAUCCAUGUUGCAGCAGUGAGUGUUGGAUCUUUUACCUGCAGCCGCACUGCCUGAAGUGUUCCUUCUGACUUCAUGGAUGUCCUUGGAUAGGACAUCACGAUCAGCCGUAUUUGAACGUUGAAGCUGAGGGAGAAAUGAUAUUCAGAGUUUGAAUGUGAGUUUUCUGUAUCUUGCACUGCAAAAAGAUGGUGCAGUUAAGUUAGCUGGUCUCCAGCUCCUCCUUUUCACCCUGUCCCAAUUCCACACAGCAGCUCUUUCCUGCUUCUUUCUCCCAGGGGAAAAGAGCACCUCUGCACCUCCAGGCCCUGCAUGAGAAAUUGUACGCUGGAGACCUAUGGAGUGCACAGGGAAAGGGAAACCUGAGAAGAGAACUCUGUAUCAACUUUUCUGGGCUUUCUUUUAUGUCAAGGCUGGCUCACACGUGGCUUGGUGAGGCUGAAGGCGCAGCAAACCGAGGCAUCCUGCAGACCCAUAGGGAGAGGCAGGAGCACAAGCACCACCAGACACAGGAGCCUGGGUUGCAUUCAGCUCCUCAGACAGCCUCACUGUUUGUUUAUUGCUGUGCCUAAGGAGUAAAUCCACACAUAUUAAAAACAACACCCAACCUAUCCCCCACUCUGUCCCAUUUUUCAUGUGGGUCUUUGUCAUUCCUCUGUCUUUUGGCACAGUCAUGCAGCAGAAUUUUUCUACUGUAUCGGUAUACUAUUCACAGCUGUAACCAAAACAUUUUUUCUCCUAUCUAGAUCUACUCCUAGAUCACCUGGGGUAUUCUUCUCCUGCUUAGGAGCCUCUCUGAUUCACUAUCUGGCUAUUACACAGAGCUCAAGGAUUGAAGCCUUCAGUACGAUCCCAGGAUAAUAUAAGAUCCACACAGAAUCAUUUAUCUGAAGUGACGUGUCUGAUGCACUGGUGGAAGUUUUCCUAAGAGAUUUCUAAAUGUCCUGGUGGCUGACGGUAAAGACACCAAGGACUCAGAGUCAUGGGUUUCUCUUUAUUACAAGCCCUAAAACACCCAGCAGAAAGACAAAGCUGAGUGAAUUAAUGUUUUCUGACAACUAAGAUACUGUAUUGUCCCACCAAAGUCCUUUCAAAGACCCCUUUAAGAACAGAGUAGUUUGGGGGCUGAAAGGAUCCUAGUUCUGAAACUGGUCUUUAUCUUCUGUUGCUAUCGAAAUGUUUUGUGCUUUAAAUAUGCACUUGCUAUUUCUUAGUUUUAGACUCUCCUAAUACCAAAUUAGCCUUCUGAGCAGAGGUCAGCAGUGCAGGAGUGCAGGUCUUACUGGUUCAGAGGAACACAAAAUCACACAGGCUAAUGCUGAAGUCUUUGUCAACAGCUUCCUGAAUAUCUAGAGACUGAUCAGACAUGAGCUGUCUAUACAGCCAGAUAAUGCUGUUAUUAGAGACACAUUAGUGUGAGGGUUUUUUUUUUUUUUUUUUUUUAAUAUACAUGGCUAAUAGAUACAUUAAUCUCAUAGCUUUCACUGCAAAAGUCUUGGACCAGUGCUUCUGAUUAAUUAUUAAUACUCGUCUUCCUCUUCUAUUUUUCAGUGUAUUUACUUCUUAGCCUCGACUCUCUGUGGUUUUUGGGGGGGGUUUGUUUUUUUGGCUGUUUUUUUCUUUUCCUCCAGAUGAUUACAUAUAGCAAAGCUUGGAUAACUACAUGAGCAUUCACUGCAUUCUUACUUGCCAAUGUCCUUAAUAAUGAUGAAAUGAUAACUAAACAACAACCAAUAUUUUGGAUUUGGGGAGCUGCAGAUACCUGGAGAAAGCACUUUGCGUUAACAGUUGAUGCACUGUUGGUAUAUUGACAAAAAUGGGGCUAAUGCAUUUGUGUAAAGAUCCCCUUUCAAUAAAUUUGUGUAAAGAUCCCCUUUUAAAA